GAUGAACGCUGGCGGCGUGCCUAAUACAUGCAAGUCGAGCGAACAGAUGAGGAGCUUGCUCCUCUGACGUUAGCGGCGGACGGGUGAGUAACACGUGGAUAACCUACCUAUAAGACUGGGAUAACUUCGGGAAACCGGAGCUAAUACCGGAUAAUAUAUUGAACCGCAUGGUUCAAUAGUGAAAGACGGUUUUGCUGUCACUUAUAGAUGGAUCCGCGCCGCAUUAGCUAGUUGGUAAGGUAACGGCUUACCAAGGCAACGAUGCGUAGCCGACCUGAGAGGGUGAUCGGCCACACUGGAACUGAGACAUGGUCCAGACUCCUACGGGAGGCAGCAGUAGGGAAUCCUCCGCAAUGGGCGAAAGCCUGACGGAGCAACGCCGCGUGAGUGAUGAAGGUCUUCGGAUCGUAAAACUCUGUUAUUAGGGAAGAACAAAUGUGUAAGUAACUAUGCACGUCUUGACGGUACCUAAUCAGAAAGCCACGGCUAACUACGUG
rnacentral:rRNA from 1 species